AUUGAACGCUGGCGGCAUGCCUUACACAUGCAAGUCGAACGGUAACAGGGAGCUUGCUCCGCUGACGAGUGGCGAACGGGUGAGUAAAGUAUCGGAACGUACCUUUCAGUGGGGGAUAACGUAGCGAAAGUUACGCUAAUACCGCAUAUUCUGUGAGCAGGAAAGCAGGGGAUCGCAAGACCUUGCGCUGAUUGAGCGGCCGAUAUCAGAUUAGCUAGUUGGUGAGGUAAAGGCUCACCAAGGCGACGAUCUGUAGCGGGUCUGAGAGGAUGAUCCGCCACACUGGAACUGAGACACGGUCCAGACUCCUACGGGAGGCAGCAGUGGGGAAUUUUGGACAAUGGGGGCAACCCUGAUCCAGCCAUGCCGCGUGAGUGAAGAAGGCCUUCGGGUUGUAAAGCUCUUUCGGCCGGGAAGAAAUCGCAUGGGUUAAUACCCUGUGCGGAUGACGGUACCGGCAUAAGAAGCACCGGCUAACUACGUGCCAGCAGCCGCGGUAAUACGUAGGGUGCGAGCGUUAAUCGGAAUUACUGGGCGUAAAGCGUGCGCAGGCGGUUUUGUAAGACAGGCGUGAAAUCCCCGGGCUCAACCUGGGAACUGCGCUUGUGACUGCAAGGCUAGAGUAUGGCAGAGGGGGGUGG
rnacentral:rRNA from 1 species